UACGUAGGGAGCAAGCGUUGUCCGGAAUCAUUGGGCGUAAAGCGCGCGUAGGUGGCCAUGUAAGUCCGCUGUGAAAGUCAAAGGCUCAACCUUUGAAAGCCGGUGGAUACUGCAUGGCUAGAGUACGGAAGAGGCGAGUGGAAUUCCCGGUGUAGCGGUGGAAUGCGCAGAUAUCAGGAGGAACACCAAUAGCGAAGGCAGCUCGCUGGGACGUUACUGACACUGAGGCGCGAAAGCGUGGGGAGCGAACAGG
rnacentral:rRNA from 1 species